CUACGGGAGGCAGCAGUCGAGAAUUUUUCACAAUGGGCGAAAGCCUGAUGGAGCGACGCCGCGUGGGGGAUGAAUGGCUUCGGCCCGUAAACCCCUGUCAUUUGCGAUCAACCGUUAUUAUUUAAAAGAUGAUGACCUGAUAGUAGCGAAAGAGGAAGGGACGGCUAACUCUGUGCCAGCAGCCGCGGUAAUACAGAGGUCCCAAGCGUUGUUCGGAUUCACUGGGCGUAAAGGGUGCGUAGGUGGCGGGGUAAGUCGGAUGUGAAAUCUCGGAGCUCAACUCCGAAACUGCAUUGGAAACUACCUUGCUUGAGGGUUGGAGGGGGGACUGGAAUACUUGGUGUAGCAGUGAAAUGCGUAGAUAUCAAGUGGAACACCAGUGGCGAAGGCGAGUCCCUGGACAACUCCUGACACUGAGGCACGAAAGCUAGGGGAGCAAACAAGAUUAGAUACCCCUGUAGUCC
rnacentral:rRNA from 1 species